UUCAUCACUGAGCAUAAUAUCGAUGUGAUGUUAUGUCAGUUGACAUUCUACAGGUUAUAAGAUUUAAGCGUUCAAUGUCGCCAUCUAGUGGUGAAAUUUAUGUACAUCACUUUAAGAGUCGGGCGUUAAUGACGUCAUUAGAGAGCAGACAAGUCAGGACAAUGCAACGCAUGGUUUUCGCAGUAACACGGCUACUCCUAUACAGUUGGUCCUAGAAAGCACUGUCGUUUUACACCUACUCCAUCUGGCUUCAUUAAAGACUCAACGCAAGCGCUCUAGUCUGUGUGAUCCUUUGGAGAGGAGUUUAGCUGAGUGUCGACUCCGGCAAGGCGUUGGAGGUUGAGGACAUGACAAUCGAU